rnacentral:rRNA from 1 species
GAAAAGCGUGGGGAGCAAACAGGAUUAGAUACCUUGGUAGUCCACGCCGUAAACGAUGUCUACUUGGAGGUUGUGGCCUUGAGCCGUGGCUUUCGGAGCUAACGCGUUAAGUAGACCGCCUGGGGAGUACGGUCGCAAGAUUAAAACUCAAAUGAAUUGACGGGGGCCCGCACAAGCGGUGGAGCAUGUGGUUUAAUUCGAUGCAACGCGAAGAACCUUACCUACUCUUGACAUCCAGAGAAGCCAGCGGAGACGCAGGUGUGCCUUCGGGAGCUCUGAGACAGGUGCUGCAUGGCUGUCGUCAGCUCGUGUUGUGAAAUGUUGGGUUAAGUCCCGCAACGAGCGCAACCCUUAUCCUUGUUUGCCAGCGAGUAAUGUCGGGAACUCCAGGGAGACUGCCGGUGAUAAACCGGAGGAAGGUGGGGACGACGUCAAGUCAUCAUGGCCCUUACGAGUAGGGCUACACACGUGCUACAAUGGCGCAUACAGAGGGCAGCAAGCUAGCGAUAGUGAGCGAAUCCCAAAAAGUGCGUCGUAGUCCGGAUUGGAGUCUGCAACUCGACUCCAUGAAGUCGGAAUCGCUAGUAAUCGUGAAUCAGAAUGUCACGGUGAAUACGUUCCCGGGCCUUGUACACACCGCCCGUCACACCAUGGGAGUGGGCUGCAAAAGAAGUGGGUAGUUUAACCUUCGGGG